UGGCGGACGGGUGAGUAAUGUAUCGGGACCUACCUGAACGUGGGGGAUAACGUAGAAACUUACGCUAAUACCGCAUACGUCUACGGGAGAAAGCAGGGGACCUUCGGGCCCUGCGGUCAGACGGACCGAUGUUCGAUUAGCUAGUUGGUGAGGUAAUGGCUCACCAAGGCGGAUCGAUAGCUGGUCUGAGAGGAUGAUCAGCCACACUGGAACUGAGACACGGUCCAGACCUACGGGAGGCAGCAGUGGGGAAUAUUGGACAAUGGGCGCAAGCCUGAUCCAGCAAUCGCGUGUGUGAAGAAGGCCUUCGGGUUGUAAAGCACUUUUAUCGGGAGCGAAAUACCAGGUUAAUACCCGGUGGGGCUGACGGUACCCGAGGAAUAAGCACCGGCUAACUUCGUGCGCAGCCGCGGUAAUACGAAGGGUGCAAGCGUUAAUCGGAAUUACUGGGCGUAAAGGGUGUAGGCGGUUAGUUAAGUCUGUCGUGAAAUCCCCGGGCUCAACCUGGGAAUGGCGAUGUACUGGCUGGCUAGAGUGUGUCAGAGGAUGGUGGAAUUUCCGGUGUAGCGGUGAAAUGUAGAGAUCGGAAGGAACAUCAGUGGCGAAGGCGGCCAUCUGGGACAACACUGACGCUG
rnacentral:rRNA from 1 species